AUUGAACGCUGGCGGCAUGCCUAACACAUGCAAGUCGAACGGUAACAGGAAGCAGCUUGCUGCUUUGCUGACGAGUCGCGGACGGGUGAGUAAUGUCUGGGAAACUGCCUGAUGGAGGGGGAUAACUACUGGAAACGGUUGCUAAUACCGCAUAACGUCUCAAGACCAAAGAGGGAGACCUUCGGGCCUCUUGCCAUCCGAUGUGCCCAGAUGGGAUUAGCUAGUAGGUGGGGUAACGGCUAACCUAGGCCACGAUCCCUAGCUGGUCUGAGAGGAGGACCAGCCACACUGGAACUGAGACACGGUCCAGACUCCUACGGGAGGCAGCAGUGGGGAAUAUUGCAAAAUGGGGGAAAGCCUGAGGCAGCCAGGCGGGGUGUAUGAAGAAGGCUUUCGGGUUGUAAAGUACUUUCAGCGGGGAGAAAGGGAGUAAAGUUAAUACCUCUGCUCAUGGACGUAACCAGCAGAAGAAGCACCGGCUAACUCGGG
rnacentral:rRNA from 1 species